GGGGAUAACGUUUGGAAACGAACGCUAAUACCGCAUGAUAUUAUUGAGCUGCAUGGCUUGAUAAUCAAAGGAGCAAUCCGCUGAAAGAUGGGCUCGCGUCCGAUUAGGUAGUUGGCGGGGCAACGGCCCACCAAGCCGACGAUCGGUAGCCGGACUGAGAGGUUGAACGGCCACAUUGGGACUGAGACACGGCCCAGACUCCUACGGGAGGCAGCAGUGAGGGAUAUUGGUCAAUGGGGGAAACCCUGAACCAGCAACGCCGCGUGAGGGAAGACGGUUUUCGGAUUGUAAACCUCUGUCCUCUGUGAAGAUGAUGACGGUAGCAGAGGAGGAAGCUCCGGCUAACUACGUGCCAGCAGCCGCGGUAAUACGUAGGGAGCAAGCGUUGUCCGGAUUUACUGGGUGUAAAGGGUGCGUAGGCGGCUUUGCAAGUCAGAAGUGAAAUCCAUGGGCUUAACCCAUGAACUGCUUUUGAAACUGCAGAGCUUGAGUGGAGUAGAGGUAGGCGGAAUUCCCGGUGUAGCGGUGAAACGCGUAGAGAUCGGGAGGAACACCAGUGGCGAAGGCGGCCUGCUGGGCUCUAACUGACGCUGAGGCACGAAGGCGUGGGUAGCAAACAGGAUUAGAUACCCUGGUAGUCCACGCUGUAAACGAUGAUUACUAGGUGUGGGUGGACUGACCCCAUCCGUGCCGGAG
rnacentral:rRNA from 1 species